UACAGAGGUCUCAAGCGUUGUUCGGAUUCAUUGGGCGUAAAGGGUGCGCAGGUGGCGCGGCAAGUCGGAUGUGAAAUCCCGGGGCUCAACCCCGGAACUGCAUUCGAUACUGCCGUGCUAGAGUGCUGGAGAGGAGAUUGGAAAUUUACGGUGUAGCAGUGAAAUGCGUAGAUAUCGUAAGGAAGACCAGUGGCGAAAGGCGGAUCUCUGGACAGCUACUGACACUGAGGCACGAAGGCCAGGGGAGCAAACGGG
rnacentral:rRNA from 1 species